AGUUUGAUCCUGGCUCAGAACUAACGCUGGCGGCGUGCCUAACACAUGCAAGUCGUACGAGAAAGUUGGCUUCGGCCGAUGAGUAAAGUGGCGCACGGGUGAGUAACGCGUGGAUAAUCUACCCCUCAGUUGGGAAUAACUCAUCGAAAGGUGGGCUAAUACCGAAUAAUACUGCAUGACUUCUGUUGUGUAGUCAAAGAUGGCCUCUGCUUGCAAGCUAUUGCUGAAGGAUGAGUCCGCGUACCAUUAGCUAGUUGGUAGGGUAAUGGCCUACCAAGGCAACGAUGGUUAGCUGGUCUGAGAGGAUGAUCAGCCACACUGGAACUGAGACACGGUCCAGACUCCUACGGGAGGCAGCAGUGAGGAAUAUUGCGCAAUGGGGGAAACCCUGACGCAGCAACGCCGCGUGAGUGAGGAAGGUUUUCGGACCGUAAAGCUCUGUCGAGCGGGAAGAAAUGCAUAGUGGCUAAUAUCCAUUAUGCUUGACGGUACCGCUAAAGGAAGCACCGGCUAACUCCGUGCCAGCAGCCGCGGUAAUACGGGGGGUGCUAGCGUUGUUCGGAAUCAUUGGGCGUAAAGAGCGUGUAGGCGGCUGGAUAAGUCAGAUGUGAAAGCCCUGGGCUUAACCUAGGAAGUGCAUUUGAAACUGUUCAGCUUGAGUAAGGGAGAGGAAAGUGGAAUUCCUGGUGUAGAGGUGAAAUUCGUAGAUAUCAGGAGGAACACCGGUGGCGAAGGCGACUUUCUGGCCCUAUACUGACGCUGAGACGCGAGAGCGUGGGUAGCAAACAGGAUUAGAUACCCUGGUAGUCCACGCUGUAAACGAUGUUCACUAGGUGUUGGGGGUAUUGACCCUCUCAGUGCCGCAGCUAACGCAUUAAGUGAACCGCCUGGGGAGUACGGUC
rnacentral:rRNA from 1 species